rnacentral:rRNA from 1 species
UGGGGAAUAUUGCACAAUGGGCGCAAGCCUGAUGCAGACAUGCCGCGUGUGUGAAGAAGGCCUUCGGGUUGUAAAGCACUUUCAGCGGGGAGGAAGGCGAUAAGGUUAAUAACCUUGUCGAUUGACGUUACCCGCAGAAGAAGCACCGGCUAACUCCGUGCCAGCAGCCGCGGUAAUACGGAGGGUGCAAGCGAUAAUCGGAAUUACUGGGCGUAAAGCGCACGCAGGCGGUUUGCUAAGUCAGAUGUGAAAUCCCCGUGCUCAACCUGUGAACUGCAUCUGAUACUGGCAAGCUUGAGUCUCGUAGAGGGGGGUAGAAUUCCAGGUGUAGCGGUGAAAUGCGUAGAGAUCUGGAGGAAUACCGGUGGCGAAGGCGGCCCCCUGGACGAAGACUGACGCUCAGGUGCGAAAGCGUGGGGAGCAAACAGG